UACGUAGGGGGCUAGCGUUGUCCGGAAUCAUUGGGCGUAAAGCGCGUGUAGGCGGUCCGGUAAGUCCGCUGUGAAAGUCGGGGGCUCAACCCUCGGAUGCCGGUGGAUACUGUCGGGCUUGAGUACGGAAGAGGCGAGUGGAAUUCCUGGUGUAGCGGUGAAAUGCGCAGAUAUCAGGAAGAACACCCGUGGCGAAGGCGGCUCUCUGGAACGCAACUGACGCUGAGGCGCGAAAGCUAGGGGAGCAAACAGG
rnacentral:rRNA from 1 species